UAUUUUUCAUAUUUAUCAGUAGGGCGGAAUCCGGAGCAUAGUUCAACAUUAGAGCGUGCGUCUCCGCGAGACAAUACGAACAUCCCGCCGCUCAAAGAUUUAUCAAACUUUGUAAACAAGAUCGGCGCGUCUGGAAGCGAAAAUCACACGGUGAUGGCUAGCGGCCGUGGCGUUGCAACAAAGCCGAAAAGACUCAAACGUGGCCCAGGUGCAGGCUCCGGUUGAUGGGGGUGUGAGAGAUAUUGAUUUCAUACCACAGACACCAGAACGGAAGGUCAAGACGGUCGGUCAAGACGUUCGCUCAGAGCAUCAGCUGGUGUGUGUGUAGCUGGUUGUGGAUGACCAUGCGGUGAUGUUUGGAGCUGGGGCGAUGGACUGAUAGAAUCGAGGGACGCCUGUGCAUUUUCCCAGGUACCUAAAGAAACACAGCGGGCUGAUCAGUCCAACGAACGCAUGGUGUCUGCGGCAGAUUCCGACCCUAAGGCUCUGCCUUCGAAUCAGGAGGCUUACAGAUGGAAAUCACAUCCCGUGAUAGACAAUCAACACAUAAUCGGACUGAUUAUGUGAACGAAGGAGCAGCCCGCGAUCAAAACCUAACAACGGACUUAUUAAAACAGGCCAUACUCAUGCUUAAAAAGAAACUCGGGCCAAGAAAUCUACCCCACAGGACACCCCCAAAUAAUUUUCAAGGACUUUGGACCUCUUGAAAAUUAUUAUGGAUUUGUCAAAGCCACAGUACUGCCCCCGCGAAAACUGCUUCACCCCGUCCUUCCCUACAGGACUGAUGGCAAGCUUAUGUUUCCGCUCUGCCGUAUAUGUGCGGAUCAGCAGAAUCAGACCACCCCGUGUAGCCACACUGAUGAGGAAAGGCUAUUUCAAGCUGCUGGGUCAGUAUCGAACUGUCAAAGGCUGUGGAGAAAGGUUAUGAUGUAACGAAGGUUGACGAGUAUGGCAUUUCCCUCAACGAUCAGAAACCUUGUUUUGUGAUUGUUAAAAUAUUUUUACAGUACAAACAAGAGGCCAGUGGAUUCCCCACGCACGUUGUGACAGAUGCAGACAAAAAAAUCUUACAUCGACGAUUACUUUGAGAAAGAGGGGAUUAAACUGAAUCUUGACAAGAUAAGUCUUAACCCUGCACGCCGGUCUAUUAAUAAACUUCUGCUGAACUCACUUUGGGGACGAUUCUCUAUGCGCGAAAAUUUGCCGUAUACAGAACUACUUUCAGACCCUGAACAGUAUGCCCAGCACAUUUUUGGUGAUGGUUAUGACAUUAAACACUUCUCGUUCGUGUCAGACACUGUUCCAGUAAUUCAGUGGUGUUACGCGGACGGGAAAGGUGGUCAGACCCGUGACAAUGUCUUUCUUUGGUGCGUUUACAACUAUAGAACUGUAUGAACUAAUUGAUAAAGUGGGCGAUAGGCUGUUGUACACUGACACAGACAGCGUCAUCUUUACUUAUAGAGACGGCGCCUGGGAGCCGCCAUUGGGGCCUUGCCUCGGUAAUCUGACGGAUAAGAUUGGGGAUCACAUUGUAGAGUUUUGUUCUGGGGGCCCGAAAACAAACGGCUACUGCACUGCUAAGGGUAAGGUCUGCAUAAAAGUCAAGGGUAUCACUCUCAAAAGGUUAGGCACUCUGAUUGGACUAUGUCGUGGGAGGAGAUAAUAUUCGGCAUAUACUGGCAUACACCAACACUAUUGUGAGAAAUAAAAACUUCACACUCCACAACAGGUCAGUCGUUAAAAAGUUUAAGGUUUUGUACAACAAACCUGUGCUGCUCCCUGAUAUCACCACACUCUAUGGAUUCUGACAGUCUAUUUGGACAUAGGGGUGUGCGCGACAUAGAUGGUUUUGAUUUCAGAUUACAGCAUCCAUUUUCAUGUGUGAUAAGUGGUUUUCCCGAGUUUAAUCGGGAAAGUCAUAUUUUGUAAAAAUGUUGUUGCAAAAUUCUGUACGGUUGAUUUCUAAAAAAAAACUGAAAAUAUUGUAUAUAUUUAUGAUUGUUGACAACCAUUGUAUGACGAAUUGUUGAAAAUGUACAAAAUUAAAUUUGUUGAAGGUCUACCACAGACUCUGAAUGAUGAUGAUCUGUUCCCCGUCAACAAAACUAAUUUAUUGAUCCUUG